ensembl:lncRNA
GACUGGGUGUGUAAAGCGCUUUGGGGUCCUUAGGGGGAACUAGUAAAAGUGCUAUACAAAUACAGUCCAUUUACCAUUUUAAUGUUUACGAAUUAUCACAGGUGAUUACAGCCAAGGAGGAAUAUGUGCCCAACUUUCACUUAAACUAAUAUAAGGAUAUAUAAAGGCUGUUAACAUUAUGAAGCAAGUCAUGCUGACCUUCUUUCCUUUGUUCAGUGCAUCAUGCGUUGUCUACAACACCAGGUGAAAGUGAGGCCAAGCAUCAGGAAACAGAGAGCUGCAUUCAAGAGAGUGAAAAUGAGGGACAGGCAGAGGGACAGCAGAUGUUUCCAUAUAAUGUGGCAGAAUUUGUGUAAGCUGUUGUCUAGGGGUUAAAGAAAUCCUUCAUUUUAGAUGUUGUUUAGGAUAUUGUUUUGAUGCAAGUUUCCAAUUUGCAUGUUUGGGGUUUUUUUUGCUGAAUGACUGCAACUUUAGGAUUUACAUUUAAUUUUUUUUUUUUUUUUUUUUAAUGAUGUAGUGUGAGAAAUUCUUCAAGGCUGACAUGUUUUAUGAUUUCUAAUAUCUCUUAUCUACUUAGCCCUAUUUUUCUGGAGGAAGAUGAAGCUCUUGAAGAGGCAAUUCAGCGUAGCCUCCUAGAAGAGUCUGAUAGACAGAGUGAAGUUCAUAUUUCAAGGUAAGAUUUGAAAGUAACCUUUGAUAAUUGAAUAUUUUAUUUGCAUCUUUACUUGCAUCAUUUUUUUGCAGUUACACAAUUACAAAGGUAAUUGCUCAUUUCUGACUAAUUUAAUAUGGACUAUCACAACAUAAUUAUAUGUUGUAACUCUGUGCACUUGAGUCAAAUGUACAGCAAAUUUCCAUUUUUCCCCAAGAUCUGUUUGUCAUUGUCCCUUUUUUAUAUAGGUCUUUUAAGAAGCUCAGCAAAGAAGAAAUUGAAGGUCUUCUUAGAGCUCAUAGUGAGAAAGUCAUUACACCAGGAACAAGACAACUCCAUAUCAGUCGAGCCAAUGUGUGGUCGACUGCUUUGCGUCAGUUCAAGAGACCCAAGUUUGCAGAAAGCUGUGAGAUGCUUUAUGUCACAUUUGCAAGCGAUGAACAUGAUACAGAGGAAGAUGCUGCUGACCUUGGGGGGCCAAGGCGGGAGUUUUUCCGUUUACUGGUGAAGGCCAUCUUUCAGGACAGUGGUGCUUUUGAAGCUACACCAAAUGGAUGCACACUGAAAUUUAACAUCCUACACUUGCAAAAUGGAGUAUAUCGAACCAUUGGCAGGAUGUUGUCCACGAUAAUAGUGCAAGGUGGAGAAGCACCUGCCUUUCUCUCUCCACAUGUAGUAGACUACAUUGUGUCAGGAGACAUUCUUCAAGUACACCUAACACCGGAUGAUAUAGGUGACCCUGAGUUAAGAGAGAAUCUGAAAAAGGUGAAUUGCAAUAUUAUAACAAGAAUAUUGUAAUAUUUCCUAUAUUCACAAGUCUUCUGGUCUUCUUUUAUAAUAUAUAAUAAAUACACUUUUGGUUAUUAGAGGCAAUUCCAUGUAUUAUAUUUUCAAUUUGUUUCCUUUUUGUUAAAAAAAAAAAAAUAUUGGUGAAAUACAGCCAAAUAAACCAAAACAAAAACGUUUCGAGUCCAAUUAAAAUGAACCAUCUGCAGUAUUUGUGUACACUGGUAAAAAACAAACAUUUAAAGUGUUUUUCUUAAAUAUUUAGGUUGUAAAUGCAACAACUCAACAUGAUUUGGAGGAAGCAGUCAGCUGCUGCGACUCAUGGCGAUAUCAAGUUGAAGGUCUUCCACUCACAGUCACCAUGGCC